UCAGAGUAUAGCUUAAAAUGCCUAAAGCACCUCCCUUACACCGAGGAUAUGUCCGUUCAAAUCGGGCUGAUCUGAA
rnacentral:tRNA from 1 species